rnacentral:rRNA from 1 species
AACGAACGCUGGCGGCAUGCCUAACACAUGCAAGUCGAACGAAACCUUCGGGUCUAGUGGCGCACGGGUGCGUAACGCGUGGGAACCUGCCCUUAGGUUCGGAAUAACUCCCCGAAAGGGGUGCUAAUACCGGAUAAUGUCUUCGGACCAAAGAUUUAUCGCCUUUGGUUGGGCCCGCGUUGGAUUAGCUAGUUGGUAGGGUAAAAGCCUACCAAGGCGACGAUCCAUAGCUGGUCUGAGAGGAUGAUCAGCCACACUGGGACUGAGAAGCGGCCCAGACUCCUACGGGAGGCAGCAGUGGGGAAUAUUGGACAAUGGGCGAAAGCCUGAUCCAGCAAGGCCGCGUGAGUGAUGAAGGCCUGAGGGUUGUAAAGCGCUUUUACCCGGGAUGAUAAUGACAGUACCGGGAGAAUAAGCUCCGGCUAACUCCGUG